rnacentral:rRNA from 1 species
UACGGGGGGUGCGAGCGUUGUCCGGAAUCACUGGGCGUAAAGGGCGCGUAGGUGGUUUGAUAAGGGUGUGGUGAAAGCCCGGGGCUCAACCCCGGGUCUGCCGUGCCGACUGUCAAACUCGAGGGCUGUAGAGGCAGACGGAAUUCCGGGUGUAGCGGUGGAAUGCGUAGAGAUCCGGAGGAAGACCGGUGGCGAAGGCGGUCUGCUGGGCAGUUUCUGACACUGAUGCGCGACAG